AGAAGUAGACAGUGGGGGGCUGAGUAGUCAUGACGCGAAUGAUCGAAUCUGAGAUCUCUCCUUUUGCUUCUUUCUUCUUUCCUUUCCCCUUUUUCUCGAUCUGUCCCAGAUAUAACACAUGCGUGUUCGUCCCUUUUGUCGACUACUGCUCCACUCCUAACCCUUAUAUAAAGGCCUCACACUGGUUUUGCUUUCCUUGCAUCCAAAUCUCUCUCUCUCUCUCUCUUUCUGUCAUUGUGUUCAUGGAGCGGUCCACGCGUUUAUUCUCAGCUGCCUUUGUUCUUCUGUUGCUUCUUCUGGCGACAGAAGAGAUGGGGCCAAAGGCAGCGGAAGCAAGGACAUGCCAGUCUCAGAGCCAUCGCUUCAAGGGCAUGUGCAUGAGGAAGAGUAACUGUGCCGCCGUCUGCCAGACGGAAGGUUUCCACAGUGGACAUUGCCGAGGCUUUCAUCGCCGAUGCUUCUGCACUAAACACUGUUAGCCAUAUGAAUUAAUGAAUCUCUUAUUUCCAUAGCCCCUGAGGCUUCCUUUUGAGAGAAUAAGGUAUCCCCGGCAUUUUGAGUACGAGGAACUGUUUUUUUUAACUCUAUAUUCAUCUGUCUUUGUCAUGUUUUGUGUCGCAUGAAAUAAAUUUUCAUUCUUUAUAAAAGUUGUCAAUGUAAUUCUUUGACGUUACAUUUUAA